CCUACGGGAGGCAGCAGUGGGGAAUAUUGCACAAUGGGGGAAACCCUGAUGCAGCGACGCCGCGUGAGUGAAGAAGUAAUUCGUUACGUAAAGCUCUAUCAGCAGGGAAGAAAAUGACGGUACCUGAGUAAGAAGCCCCGGCUAACUACGUGCCAGCAGCCGCGGUAAUACGUAGGGGGCAAGCGUUAUCCGGAUUUAUUGGGUGUAAAGGGCGCGUAGGCGGGAAAGCAAGUCAGAUGUGAAAACUCAGGGCUCAACCCUGAGCCUGCAUUUGAAACUGUUUUUCUUGAGUGCUGGAGAGGCAAGCGGAAUUCGGGGUGUAGCGGUGAAAUGCGUAGAUAUACGGAGGAACACCAGUGGCGAAGGCGGAUUGCUGGACAGUAACUGACGCUGAGGCGCGAAAGCGUGGGGAGCAAACAGGAUUAGAUACCCGAGUAGUC
rnacentral:rRNA from 1 species